rnacentral:lncRNA from 12 species
AUGAGAAUGUUUCAGGCCAGAACGAUAAGCAUUUUAUCUAAUCUUCCUACCCAGAUUAAAAUCGCUGUUUUUUUGUUUUUUGUUUUUUUGUUGUUGUUUAAAUUUGCAACAGAUUCAAAACGUUUAUGUCAAGAUUCUUUGGGGACGAAAGCAGACUAUGAGCUCCGAAGUUUGGAAAUUCCCACUGUCGCUCCAGAACUCCCAGAGAGCCCAGGAGGUACCCUACUUCCUGAGCAACCUUUUGAUGCCUCUGGUUUUCCCCUGAUGGAAGAACAUCUGAGCCAGGCCAGCCGGAUACUCUUCGGUCCCUUCUGUUCAACGUCUGCGCUGGCCAGACCAAGGGGCCAGGCAGCCAGAACGGUAGAGGUCUGUGCUUUUCGGGCGGCGGCCGGAAGAUGCGCUCUGGGAGCAGGCAGAACCACCGAGGCAGGGAGGACCUGGAUCGAAGAUGAGCAAAAACCCUGACGCUGGAUGUACUGAGGAGUCCUUGACCCUGUUGGUACCCGAGGUGGCCCCCAGGCUCUUGGUCUCCUCACAGGAGAGAAUCCAAGGGCAGGCACAAGUCGGAUGAGCCAUACAAGUAGGAAAUUUGAAAGCAAAAGUGCACUCCCAACAUCCCAGGAUGUGAGAGGGGUGAGCUGAGGAGGGAGAGAGUGGCACGACCUGGGGCUGGGUUUCUCUCUAUUACUGACAGUUGUUAACUAGGGGGCAGAAUGUUUAUUACUUGGGCCUGGAAGCAGGGUUUCCCACUGUUUUUUCUUCCUAACCUGCUCAGCGAUUUCCAUUUCCCGUGGUGGCUCCACCAUCUGGGGCCCCUGUGGUGUGAUCCUGCUCCUUGUGGAGUGCUGCCAGGACCUUCCUCACCACUGGCCACUGCCUCCUCCUUGCUGGCCUCCGAGCAUCCCAUGAGAGCCUCACUGCCUGCCUCCAAAAACCUGAGGUUUGUGAGAGUUUCCUUUCCCCAUGCCACACAUUGAGCCAGAGGCAAAGCCUGACCUAACAGCUGGGUUCUCUGACCUUUGCACUCAGCACCGUAUCAGAGCUGUUUUAUAUAUUUUUUAUAUUUUAAUGGGAGACUGCAUUUAUGUUCAUUCUGUGCUGACAAACAGUAAUCACAAAUGUCAGACACGGGUCCUCUUUAGCCUGCCCAACCUUGGACACAUCAUUUGACUCCUGUGACUCCUCAGGUUCCCUAUCUGUUGUUCCAAAUGACAUAGGGCCUUUUGGCUUCAGUGCCCUUUAGCUGGAGCCACAGUAAUUAUCUGAAAUUUAGAAUCUUGAGAGGAGUACAAGUCCUGGCCCCGAUGUUUCAGUGCGGCCUCUACAAUGAUCGGUGCUUAAUUAAAUAAAGGAAUGGCAUUCCCAGGGUGUCCCGCUGUA